rnacentral:tRNA from 1 species
CGUAUGUCACUGGUUCGAGUCCAGUCAGAGGAGCCA